CCUACGGGAGGCAGCAGUGGGGAAUAUUGGACAAUGGGUGCGAGCCUGAUCCAGCCAUGCCGCGUGCAUGAAGACGGCCUUCUGGGUUGUAAACUGCUUUUGCCAGGAGAUAAAAAGUCCCUGCGGGAAAAAUUGAAGGUACCUGGUGAAUAAGCCACGGCUAACUACUUGCCAGCAGCCGCGGUAAUACCUAAGUGGCAAGCGUUAAUCGGAAUUACUGGGCGUAAAGCGUGCGCAGGCGGUGCUGUAAGACACGCGUGAAAUCCCCGGGCUUAACCUGGGAAUGGCGCUUGUGACUGCAGUGCUGGAAUGCGGCAGAGGGGGAUGGAAUUCCGCGUGUAUCAGUGAAAUGCGUAGAUAUGCGGAGGAACACCUAUGGCGAAGGCAAUCCCCUGGGCCUGCACUGACGCUCAUGCACAAAAGCGUGGGCAGCAAACAGGAUUAGAUACCCUGGUAGUCCACGCCCUAAACGAUGUCAACUGGUUGUUGGGUCUCUUCUGACUCAGUAACGAAGCUAACGCGUGAAGUUGACCGCCUGGGGAGUACGGCCGCAAGGUUGAAACUCAAAUGAAUUGACGG
rnacentral:rRNA from 1 species